GGGAAGGGGGGUGGCCUACACAUGCAAGUCGAACGGCAGCACAGGAGAGCUUGCUCUCUGGGUGGCGAGUGGCGGACGGGUGAGGAAUACAUCGGAAUCUACUCUGUCGUGGGGGAUAACGUAGGGAAACUUACGCUAAUACCGCAUACGACCUACGGGUGAAAGCAGGGGACCUUCGGGCCUUGCGCGAUUGAAUGAGCCGAUGUCGGAUUAGCUAGUUGGCGGGGUAAAGGCCCACCAAGGCGACGAUCCGUAGCUGGUCUGAGAGGAUGAUCAGCCACACUGGAACUGAGACACGGUCCAGACUCCUACGGGAGGCAGCAGUGGGGAAUAUUGGACAAUGGGCGCAAGCCUGAUCCAGCCAUACCGCGUGGGUGAAGAAGGCCUUCGGGUUGUAAAGCCCUUUUGUUGGGAAAGAAAUCCAGCUGGCUAAUACCCGGUUGGGAUGACGGUACCCAAAGAAUAAGCACCGGCUAACUUCGUGCCAGCAGCCGCGGUAAUACGAAGGGUGCAAGCGUUACUCGGAAUUACUGGGCGUAAAGCGUGCGUAGGUGGUCGUUUAAGUCCGUUGUGAAAGCCCUGGGCUCAACCUGGGAACUGCAGUGGAUACUGGGCGACUAGAAUGUGGUAGAGGGUA
rnacentral:rRNA from 1 species